CUGUGGACCCAUUUUUUCCUUGUAAACUUGCUCAGAUUUUGACAUGUAGCAACUUUUCUGAAAUCUUAAGUUGUCUAGAUGGUACUUUAAAGAGAUCAUUUUUUGAUUAUCUCAAUCAAUUAUUCACUAAAGUGGGAAAAAAUGUAGGAAAACGUACAAUUUCACGAUUUCAUUGUUUUAUAAAAGCAUGGACGAUGUUUUUUCCUAUUGCUUACAGAUAUAAAUGAAAUAACUUUAUGGAUCCUACCUUCCUAACUUCUCACCUACAACAGUGGCCGCUCCCAUCACAAGAAUCAGCUCUUUUUUUUAAAGUUUCACACUGUAGGCUAGAUAACAUUCACAGUUCCUCCGCCGUUAUUAGUUCAAAGAUGGAAUAUGGUUCCU